CGAUAAAAUAAACUAUGGCGUCCAGGCUGGGACAACUUGUGAGGGAAACAGGCGCGUGGAAGAUGUGGAAGGAAUUUAGGAAAGCAUCGGUUCCCCUUUAUAAACUAAUCUGAAACCAGUUUCUCUGAGAGGUCAGCGACAUUUUGCCGGUGAGCUGGUGUCCACUCCACCACAUUGCUGGCUAUUGUUCUAGAGGGAAAAAGUUCACUGAUUUCAUAAUCUACCGGAAUCGUCCACUCUGAAGCAGGUCGCAUGAGAACUUGCUGCUGUUUUGCUGUUCAUAGUUGAAGGUUAGAAGUGUCAAAAUACCUGUGUGGUUUGAGGAAAAUUAGCCAGGGAAUAAACAGAAUUGAUUGACACUUUAGAGUUAAUCCCCAUAUCAAUGACUCCUGGAGAGACUGGAUACAUUUACGUGUGCUGGGGAUCAGGGAGAGAAAGUGAAAUCAGAGGAGAGGCAAAUAAGAUGAAGAUGGUUUAUGGCCACUGCUGUCUGUGCCCGAGGUGAAAGCUUCUCCCUGGGAGGAGAAUUCAGCAGCAGUGGGGUUAGAGGUCCUCUUGUAUUGCUGGUGUGUUGCUGAACAGAAGGUCUCUAAUGCAAGAAACAAACAACACUGUCUUAAUGAGCCACAGUCUGUUAAUAUUUUAACACUCACUUAGGACUCAUGACAGAGGGGGGUUGAAGGAGAAGAAAGGGAGAUGGUUGGAGAGACUGAGGAUGGCAAUAAAUUGAGCACUGAGCUUAUUGAAAGUCUUCAAGGAAUGUUUGAGAUGAUCAGAUGCCCUUUGUUUGUUUCUUGGAUGUCUCUGUACAUAAGAUAGGUAUAUGUUCAAGAAUAAUAAAUAAAUACAGAAAGAAAGAAAUACGUAGGGCUGUCACAAUUUUGGAUUUUCACUAUCCAAUUAUUGUGCCCUAAAGAUUUCAAAAUAUCUAAUAAAUUGGAUAAUAUCAGUUUGUAACUAUUGUGGAUCUCACUAGCGGAUCU